rnacentral:rRNA from 1 species
ACUCAAAUGAAUAGACGGGGGCCCGCACAAGCGGUGGAUUAUGUGGUUUAAUUCGAUGCAACGCGAAGAACCUUACCAGGGCUCGAAGUGUGGCGGAAUAUGGAUGAAAGUUCAUAGCCUUCGGGCCGCCAUAGAGGUGCUGCAUGGCUGUCGUCAGCUCGUGCCGUGAGGUGUUGGGUUAAGUCCCGCAACGAGCGCAACCCUUAUCUUUAGUUGCCAUCAGGUAAUGCUGGGAACUCUAAAGAGACCGCCGGCGUAAGCCGGAGGAAGGUGAGGACGACGUCAAGUCAUCAUGGCCCUUAUGUCCUGGGCUACACACGUAAUACAAUGGUCGGUACAAAAAGCGAAGCCGCAAGGCGAAGGUAAUCUGUAAAGCCGACCUCAGUUCGGAUUGGAGUCUGAAACUCGACUCCAUGAAGCUGGAAUCGCUAGUAAUCGUAGAUCAGCAUGCUACGGUGAAUACGUUCCCGGGCCUUGUACACACCGCCCGU